rnacentral:rRNA from 1 species
GUCGAGCGGAUGAAAGGAGCUUGCUCCUGGAUUCAGCGGCGGACGGGUGAGUAAUGCCUAGGAAUCUGCCUGGUAGUGGGGGACAACGUUUCGAAAGGAACGCUAAUACCGCAUACGUCCUACGGGAGAAAGCAGGGGACCUUCGGGCCUUGCGCUAUCAGAUGAGCCUAGGUCGGAUUAGCUAGUUGGUGAGGUAAUGGCUCACCAAGGCGACGAUCCGUAACUGGUCUGAGAGGAUGAUCAGUCACACUGGAACUGAGACACGGUCCAGACUCCUACGGGAGGCAGCAGUGGGGAAUAUUGGACAAUGGGCGAAAGCCUGAUCCAGCCAUGCCGCGUGUGUGAAGAAGGUCUUCGGAUUGUAAAGCACUUUAAGUUGGGAGGAAGGGUUGUAGAUUAAUACUCUGCAAUUUUGACGUUACCGACAGAAUAAGCACCGGCUAACUCUGUGCCAGCAGCCGCGGUAAUACAGAGGGUGCAAGCGUUAAUCGGAAUUACUGGGCGUAAAGCGCGCGUAGGUGGUUUGUUAAGUUGGAUGUGAAAUCCCCGGGCUCAACCUGGGAACUGCAUCCAAAACUGGCAAGCUAGAGUAUGGUAGAGGGUGGUGGAAUUUCCUGUGUAGCGGUGAAAUGCGUAGAUAUAGGAAGGAACACCAGUGGCGAAGGCGACCACCUGGACUGAUACUGACACUGAGGUGCGAAAGCGUGGGGAGCAAACAGGAUUAGAUACCCUGGUAGUCCACGCCGUAAACGAUGUCAACUAGCCGUUGGGAGCCUUGAGCUCUUAGUGGCGCAGCUAACGCAUUAAGUUGACCGCCUGGGGAGUACGGCCGCAAGGUUAAAACUCAAAUGAAUUGACGGGGGCCCGCACAAGCGGUGGAGCAUGUGGUUUAAUUYGAAGCAACGCGAAGAACCUUACCAGGCCUUGACAUCCAAUGAACUUUCCAGAGAUGGAUUGGUGCCUUCGGGAACAUUGAGACAGGUGCUGCAUGGCUGUYGUCAGCUCGUGUCGUGAGAUGUUGGGUUAAGUCCCGUAACGAGCGCAACCCUUGUCCUUAGUUACCAGCACGUAAUGGUGGGCACUCUAAGGAGACUGCCGGUGACAAACCGGAGGAAGGUGGGGAUGACGUCAAGUCAUCAUGGCCCUUACGGCCUGGGCUACACACGUGCUACAAUGGUCGGUACAGAGGGUUGCCAAGCCGCGAGGUGGAGCUAAUCCCACAAAACCGAUYGUAGUCCGGAUCGCAGUCUGCAACUCGACUGCGUGAAGUYGGAAUCGCUAGUAAUCGCGAAUCAGAAUGUCGCGGUGAAUACGUUCCCGGGCCUUGUACACACCGCCCGUCACACCAUGGGAGUGGGUUGCACCAGAAGUAGCUAGUCUAACCUUCGGGAGGACGGU